rnacentral:rRNA from 1 species
UGGGGAAUAUUGCACAAUGGGCGCAAGCCUGAUGCAGCCAUGACGCGUGUAUGAAGAAGGCCUUCGGGUUGUAAAGUACUUUCAGCGGGGAGGAAGGGAGUAAAGUUAAUACCUUUGCUCAUUGACGUUACCCGCAGAAGAAGCACCGGCUAACUCCGUGCCAGCAGCCGCGGUAAUACGGAGGGUGCAAGCGUUAAUCGGAAUUACUGGGCGUAAAGCGCACGCAGGCGGUUUGUUAAGUCAGAUGUGAAAUCCCCGGGCUCAACCUGGGAGCUGCAUCUGAUACUGGCACGCUUGAGUCUCGUAGAGGGGGGUAGAAUUCCAGGUGUAGCGGUGAAAUGCGUAGAGCUCUGGAGGAAUACCGGUGGCGAAGGCGGCCCCCUGUACGAAGACUGACGCUCAGGUGCGAAAGCGUGGGGAGCAAACAGG